rfam:Triticum aestivum genome assembly, contig: Triticum_aestivum_CS42_TGACv1_scaffold_594059_7BS
CAAAUACUCCCUCCGCCGGAAAUACUUGUCAUCAAAAUGGAUAAAAGGAAAUGUAUCUAGACGUAUUUUAGUUUUAGAUACAUUUCUUUUUAUCCAUUUUGAUGACAAGUAUUUUCAGACGGAGGGAGUAGAAA